GACAGGAGGGUGCUAGCGUUGUUCGGAAUUACUGGGCGUAAAGGGCGCGUAGGCGGCUCGUUUAGUCGGGUGUGAAAUCCCAAGGCUCAACCUUGGAACUGCAUUCGAUACUGGCGGGCUAGAGACCGGAAGAGGUGGGUGGAAUACCCAGUGUAGAGGUGAAAUUCGUAGAUAUUGGGUGGAACACCGGUGGCGAAGGCGGCUCACUGGUCCGGUUCUGACGCUGAGGCGCGAAAGCGGUGGGGAGCAAACAGG
rnacentral:rRNA from 1 species